GGGCCGUUAGCUCAGCUGGUCAGAGCGGGGGACUCAUAAUCUCUUGGUCGCAGGUUCAAGUCCUGCACGGCCCACCA
rnacentral:tRNA from 5 species